AUACGGAGGGGGCUAGCGUUGUUCGGAAUUACUGGGCGUAAAGCGCGUGUAGGCGGAUCGUUAAGUCAGGGGUGAAAGCCCGGAGCUCAACUCCGGAAUUGCCCUUGAUACUGGCGGUCUAGAGGCCGGGAGAGGUGAGCGGAAUUCCCAGUGUAGAGGUGAAAUUCGUAGAUAUUGGGAGGAACACCAGUGGCGAAGGCGGCUCACUGCCCGGUUCUGACGCUGAGACGCGAAAGCGUGGGGAGCAAACAGGAUUAGAAACCCUAGUAGUCC
rnacentral:rRNA from 1 species